rnacentral:rRNA from 1 species
AUGAUUGAAAAUUUCAUAAGCAUCUGGGAUCAGGUUGUGACUCCUGUCAUGCGCACUCGUAUUGACUUUGAAAAUUUUGAUAUUGUUUACCCUAGUGUACCUCAGCAAGAUAAUUGCCAUGAUUGUGGUGUUUUCUCUAUCAUGUAUCUGAAGUAUUGGACUCCCAGGACCCCAAUUGGAAAUAUGUUUGGUCCUGCUGAUAUCGACAACAUAAGAAUCAGAUUGGCUAAUGAGUUGUAUUUCAGUACAUUCAACAGCGUUGACAAGACUUUUGUUACAGACUUCUUUGGUGAUGUCAAGACUUAG